GAAGUAUGUCUCGAAAGUACUCCUGCCACCUCUGCUUGACUUGACACUCCCCCAUCAGAACUCUACCAUCCUCGCCCUUAAUGCACCUAACUUGGUCAAGAUCGCGUGCCUUCCUUUCCCUUGCUUUCGCUAACCGGAAUAACUUCCUGUCCCCGCCUUUCUCCCCUACUUCCUCGUACAUGCGACCAAACGUCGCGUUUUUAGCUUCCGUAACCGCUAGCUUUGCUUCUUUCCUCGCCACCUUGUAGAUCUCCCUGUUCGCUCUCCGUUCUUCCUCGCUUGUGCUCCCUGCCAA
rnacentral:lncRNA from 1 species